rnacentral:rRNA from 1 species
UACGAGGGGGGCAAGCGUUGUUCGGAAUUACUGGGCGUAAAGCGUGCGUAGGUGGUUCGUUAAGUCUGAUGUGAAAGCCCUGGGCUCAACCUGGGAAUGGCAUUGGAUACUGGCGAUCUAGAGUGCGGUAGAGGGCAGUGGAAUUCCCGGUGUAGCAGUGAAAUGCGUAGAGAUCGGGAGGAACAUCUGUGGCGAAGGCGACUGCCUGGACCAGCACUGACACUGAGGCACGAAAGCGUGGGGAGCAAACAGG